CGACCUCAGAGCAGGCGAGACUACCCGCUGAAUUUAAGCAUAUUACUAAGCGGAGGAAAAGAAACUAACAAGGAUUCCCCCAGUAGCGGCGAGCGAACAGGGAAGAGUCCAGCACCGAACCCCGCAGGCUGCCGCCUGUCGUGGCAUGUGGUGUUUGGGAGGGUCCACUACCCCGACGCCUCGCGCCGAGCCCAAGUCCAACUUGAAUGAGGCCACGGCCCGUAGAGGGUGCCAGGCCCGUAGCGGCCGGUGCGAGCGUCGGCGGGACCUCUCCUUCGAGUCGGGUUGCUUGAGAGUGCAGCUCCAAGUGGGUGGUAAACUCCAUCUGAGACUAAAUAUGACCACGAGACCGAUAGCGAACAAGUACCGUGAGGGAAAGUUGAAAAGAACUUUGAAGAGAGAGUUCAAAAGUACGUGAAACCGUUCUGGGGUAAACGUGAGAAGUCCGAAAGGUCGAACGGGUGAGAUUCACGCCCAUCCGGCCACUGGCCUCCGCCCUCGGCAGAUGGGGCCGGCCGCCCGCGCGGAGCAAUCUGCGGCGGGGUCGUGUCCGGUUGCCUUUCCACUCGCCGCGGGGUGGGGCCGUUCCGGUGUGCGGUGGGCCGCACUUCUCCCCUAGUAGGACGUCGCGACCCGCUGGGUGCCGGCCUACGGCCCGGGUGCGCAGCCUGUCCUUCCGCGGGCCUCGGUUCGCGUCUGUUGGGCAGAGCCCCGGUGUCCUGGCUGGCUGCCCGGCGGUAUAUCUGGAGGAGUCGAUUCGCCCCUUUGGGCGCUCGGGCUCCCGGCAAGCGCGCGCGGUUCUUCCCGGAUGACGGACCUACCUGGCCCGGCCCCGGACCCGCGCCGCUGUUGGCUCGGGAUGCUCUCGGGCGGAAUAAUCGCUCCCGUCAGCGGCGCUUCAGCUUUGGACAAUUUCACGACCCGUCUUGAAACACGGACCAAGGAGUCUAACAUGUGCGCGAGUCAUUGGGCUGUACGAAACCUAAAGGCGUAAUGAAAGUGAAGGUCUCGCCUUGCGCGGGCCGAGGGAGGAUGGGGCUUCCCCGCCCUUCACGGGGCGGCGGCCUCCGCACUCCCGGGGCGUCUCGUCCUCAUUGCGAGGUGAGGCGCACCUAGAGCGUACACGUUGGGACCCGAAAGAUGGUGAACUAUGCCUGGCCAGGACGAAGUCAGGGGAAACCCUGAUGGAGGUCCGUAGCGAUUCUGACGUGCAAAUCGAUCGUCGGAGCUGGGUAUAGGGGCGAAAGACUAAUCGAACCAUCUAGUAGCUGGUUCCCUCCGAAGUUUCCCUCAGGAUAGCUGGUGCUCGUACGAGUCUCAUCCGGUAAAGCGAAUGAUUAGAGGCCUUGGGGCCGAAACGACCUCAACCUAUUCUCAAACUUUAAAUGGGUGAGAUCUCCGGCUUGCUUGAUAUGCUGAAGCCGCGAGCAAACGACUCGGAUCGGAGUGCCAAGUGGGCCACUUUUGGUAAGCAGAACUGGCGCUGUGGGAUGAACCAAACGCCGAGUUAAGGCGCCCGAAUCGACGCUCAUGGGAAACCAUGAAAGGCGUUGGUUGCUUAAGACAGCAGGACGGUGGCCAUGGAAGUCGGAAUCCGCUAAGGAGUGUGUAACAACUCACCUGCCGAAGCAACUAGCCCUGAAAAUGGAUGGCGCUGAAGCGUCGUGCCUAUACUCGGCCGUCAGUCUGGCAGUCAUGGCCGGUCCUUGCGGCCGGCCGCGAAGCCCUGACGAGUAGGAGGGUCGCGGCGGUGGGCGCAGAAGGGUCUGGGCGUGAGCCUGCCUGGAGCCGCCGUCGGUGCAGAUCUUGGUGGUAGUAGCAAAUACUCCAGCGAGGCCCUGGAGGGCUGACGCGGAGAAGGGUUUCGUGUGAACAGCCGUUGCACACGAGUCAGUCGAUCCUAAGCCCUAGGAGAAAUCCGAUGUUGAUGGGGGCCGUCAUAGCAUGAUGCGCUUUGUGCUGGCCCCCGUUGGGCGAAAGGGAAUCCGGUUCCUAUUCCGGAACCCGGCAGCGGAACCGAUACAAGUCGGGCCCCUCUUUUAGAGAUGCUCGUCGGGGUAACCCAAAAGGACCCGGAGACGCCGUCGGGAGAUCGGGGAAGAGUUUUCUUUUCUGCAUGAGCGUUCGAGUUCCCUGGAAUCCUCUAGCAGGGAGAUAGGGUUUGGAACGCGAAGAGCACCGCAGUUGCGGCGGUGUCCCGAUCUUCCCCUCGGACCUUGAAAAUCCGGGAGAGGGCCACGUGGAGGUGUCGCGCCGGUUCGUACCCAUAUCCGCAGCAGGUCUCCAAGGUGAAGAGCCUCUAGUCGAUAGAAUAAUGUAGGUAAGGGAAGUCGGCAAAUUGGAUCCGUAACUUCGGGAUAAGGAUUGGCUCUGAGGAUCGGGGCGUGUCGGGCUUGGUCGGGAAGUGGGUCAGCGCUAACGUGCCGGGCCUGGGCGAGGUGAGUGCCGUAGGGGUGCCGGUAAGUGCGGGCGUUUAGCGCGGGCGUGGUCUGCUCUCGCCGUUGGUCGGCCUCGUGCUGGUCGGCGGUGCAGGAUGCGCGCGCCUGCGCGGCGUUCGCGCCCCGGUGCUUCAACCUGCGUGCAGGAUCCGAGCUCGGUCCCGUGCCUUGGCCUCCCACGGAUCUUCCUUGCUGCGAGGCCGCGUCCGCCUUAGCGUGCUCCUCCGGGGGCGCGCGGGUGCGCGGAUUCUCUUCGGCCGCCAUUCAACGAUCAACUCAGAACUGGCACGGACUGGGGGAAUCCGACUGUCUAAUUAAAACAAAGCAUUGCGAUGGCCCUAGCGGGUGUUGACGCAAUGUGAUUUCUGCCCAGUGCUCUGAAUGUCAACGUGAAGAAAUUCAAGCAAGCGCGGGUAAACGGCGGGAGUAACUAUGACUCUCUUCACGAAGAAGCCGAUCUCCACCGCCGGCUUCAUCCGUGACCGCCUUCUCCCGCACUCGGAGCCUGUCGCUCCUGAGUGCCUAUGGGGGCCGGUCACACGUGAGGAGGUCGCUGCUGCCUUGCCGCCCAGGGGAUCGGCAGCCGGGCCGGACGGCCUGACUCCAGCGGAGCUGCGGCGCCUGCCGCAUGAAGUCCUGGUGAAACUCUUGAACCUCUUCCUCCUGGCCCGCGCCCUCCCCGAGCGUCUGCUUCGCGCCCGGACGUCACUUCUCCCCAAAACGGCUGCACCAACAUCCCCCGCUGACUUUCGCCCCAUUACGGUCUGCUCGGUGUUGGCGCGGACCUUUCACAAGGUUCUCGCGUCACGCCUGAUGCGUGCAUGUGCUGUGGACGAACGUCAGCGGGCAUUCAUCCCCCGGGAUGGGAUGUUGGAAAACACCUUCAUCUUGGACACUGCUCUCACCGACGCAGUCCGCUCCUGUCGCUCUGUUUUUGUGGCAUCGAUCGACGUCUCUAAAGCGUUCGAUUCGGUGGACCAUGCUGCCCUCCGCCCCGUGCUGAGGGCUCAUGGCCUGCCGGAUUGCUUUAUUGAGUACGUCGAAAGGUGUUACGAGGGUAGCACGACAGUGAUAGCGGGCGGCGCCGACGUGGGCGUGCCCCUGCAGCCGGCUAGGGGUGUGCGUCAGGGUGACCCCCUCUCCCCCCUCCUUUUCAAUUUUGCGGUGGACUAUGUUUUGAGUCAACUUCCCUCCCACAUCGGAGCUCGGAUCCUUGGUCGCAGAGUUAACGCUGCGGCCUUCGCAGAUGACGUCCUGCUUUUUGCAUCGACCGCGAGGGGAUUGCAGUCCCUCAUCGACGCAGCCGUCGCAGCCCUCGCCCAUCUGGGGCUGCAGAUCAACGCCCGGAAGUGUUUCACCCUCGCCUUAGUCGCGUCUGGGCGCGACAAGAAGGUGAAGGUCGACGCCGACGUUACCUUCAAAGCGGGCAACGCCACCGUGCCCGCCCUACGUGUGGGUGAAACCUUCCGGUACCUGGGACUGCAAUUCUCCACCGCGGGUCGCUGCGUUUUCAACCCACGACGCCACCUGGUGGAGCAGCUGGACGUCAUCUCCCGAGCUCCGCUCAAGCCGCAACAGCGCCUCCACGCCCUCACCACCGUACUUCUGCCUGGCCUGUACCAUGGGCUGGCCCUCAGCCGCACCCGAGUGGGUGCGUUGAAAGCGGCAGAUGUGACCAUCCGUGCCGCCGUCAGGAGAUGGUUCCGCCUUCCGGCGGACACUCCCCUGGGCUACUUCCACGCUCCUGUAGCCCAGGGAGGCCUCGGCAUCCCAUCAUGCCGAUGGAUGGGGCCAACACUUCGCCGGUCCCGUCUCCUGGCGCUGAAGAGGAUUGGGCCAGCCGCCGACGGUGCAGGCCGGGACGAGGUGCAGCGUGAGAUUGAGGCGCUGGAGCGGCAUCUUAUGUGGGAGGGCCACCUCCUCAAAUCGUCGACGCAGGUUGGAGAGAUGUGGGCCGCGCGCCUGCACGUUGCCUUUGACGGUGCGGCGCUGUCAUCUUCCGCCGCCGUCAAGGGGCAACACCAGUGGGUCGCUGACACCAGUCGCCUGCUAUCUGGGCGUAACUUCAUCGACGCUCUCCGCGCCCGCAUCAACGCCUUCCCCACGAAGGCACGGCGCAGUCGCGGGCGGGAGGCGGACACCAGAUGCCGCGCGGGCUGCCAGGCCGUAGAGACCGCCAACCACGUGUUACAGGCUUGCUUCAGGACGCACGGGUCCCGGGUUAAGCGGCAUGACGCGAUCGUGCGCUAUGUCGCCCGUGGACUCGCGCAGAGGGGCUUCAACGUCUCUGUGGAGCCCCACCUCCGCACGCCUGAGGGAAUCCGCAAGCCUGACGUGGUGGCGGUUAAAGACGGCAUCGCCCGCGUCAUCGACGCCCAGGUAGUCGGAGACCAUCUCCGGCUCGACUGGUGUCACUCCGAGAAAGCGGCCUACUACAACACGCCGUCCAUCAGGCGUGCCAUCUCCAACCUGCACCGUGACGUUGAGGAGGUUACAGUGUCCACCGCGACAUUGAAUUGGAGGGGUGUAUGGUCUCCAGCGUCGGCCGGAGAUCUCUCCGCA